UGGGGAAUAUUGCGCAAUGGGCGAAAGCCUGACGCAGCGACGCCGCGUGGGUGAUGAAGUUCUUCGGAACGUAAAACCCUGUCGGGAGGAACGAAGAUCUGACGGUACCUCCAAAGGAAGCCCCGGCUAACUCCGUGCCAGCAGCCGCGGUAAUACGGGGGGGGGCAAGCGUUAUUCGGAAUUACUGGGUGUAAAGGGCGCGUAGGCGGCCGAAUUGGUCAGGUGUGAAAUCCCUAGGCUUACCUUAGGAACUGCGGUUGAUACCAUUCGGCUUGAGUACAGGAGAGGGGGGCGGAAUUCCAGGUGUAGCGGUGAAAUGCGUAGAUAUCGGGAAGAACACCGGUGGCGAAGGCGGCUCACUGGAAUGUAACUGACGCUGAAGCGCGAAAGCGUGGGGAGCGAACG
rnacentral:rRNA from 1 species